rnacentral:lncRNA from 1 species
GGAGCGGGGUGGUAGCAUGGUGGAACUGUGUUUUCAGUUACGUGGCAACUAAAGUGAGGUUCUGCUAUGAGGAGGCUGUCUUCGUGCAUUGGAAAUCCGGAACGUCGUCGCCUCUUUUUUUGUGACAACUUCAGGAAUGCACGCAACUGUCAGAAAAUGUGAUGAUUGUGUUUUUGGUGAAUUUUCCUAUUAAGUGCACUUCUUUGGUACCUUGAUAGAACUGCCUAUGUCCACAACUUGUACUGCAUGGAAGUUAUUUUUAUUCUCUAUAUACUAUAUUAUAUCGGAUCAAGAUUCAUACAGAUGUAUGCACAUUACUUUUUUGAUGGAGUACUUUUUUAUUUUCUCUUUUUUAUAGGUGAUGGUAAUGCAACUUUUGUGUGUAUGGAGGGUAGUGUUUAAUAAGGGUACCAGACUGCUUUGCUUACCUAAAUGUGCUGCAUUCUUCAUUUUUAGCCCUACUACAAUAUAGCAGAAAGAGAAUUGCAUUUCAGAAGUAGCAAUACUUCAUGCUUCGACGUGACGAACUGCAUUGUUGUAGGUCGCGUACUGCAUUUGUACGUUUACUUCGAGCUUCCUGCAUUUUAUUUAUGAGAGCGAACUGUAGUUUCUGGCAGUGCCCACACACAUUUUUUUGGUUGUUAUUCAUUUAAAAAUGUUUCUUAUUUUUCUUCAAUCUUUUAUUUUUGUAGUUAUUGUUUUUUUAGUGGCCAUGUUAUUUGAACUACUCUAGUGUGUUGGGCCUGUGUUGUUAGAGGCCUGUGUUGUUAGAGGAGUGAAAAUGCAUUCGGCCCAAGUAGGCCUGCCAGCAUGGCUGACUCCCGGUGUGCUAUGCGUGGGCGGUAUUGUUUAGUCCCACCUCGCCCAUAGAGAGAACGCAUGACCUGUUUAUAAGCCCUGGCAAGGCAUCCGUCUCGAACUCCUCUGGUUACUUAUUUGGGCGCUUAUACACGGCACUCGCUGCUCUAUCCUCUCUGACCUGUGGGCCCAUGUGUGCCCGUCCCCAUGCAUCGUGGCUUAGAACGACUCGCCUACUAUGGGUGCAGACCUACUACGAGACUGGAUGGGGCCGGUUGCACUUGGGUGGUCAAUGUUUUUUAAUUUUUCCCUCUGACGUAUAUUUUUUAAAUGUAGGGGCAUGCACUACUUAAUAAACCAUCUUGCACUGCAUCCAUCUGGUUUGUGUACUGCAUGAGUACACAUUCCGCACUACACAUUUUUAUGUGCACUUCAUGCUGGUCGCAUUUUUCUUUAUAGUUUUUCCUCUUAUGUAUCCUUUUUCUAGUGUACGGGUAUGCACUACUUUGUUCGGUCUGUUGCACUGCAUUCGUCAGAGUCUUGUGCUGCAGGUGUACGCAUUUUGUACUGCGUGCAUCCUUUUUUGCGUCAAUGUUGUGACUGCUUGUACCAACGUUGCGGACUGUAUUUCUUGUAUUUACGGACUGCAUUACGCGCACUAAAUCUAUUCGUUUGUGCACUGCACGAAAGUGCAUCUCUUGUGCUUCAUUUUGAGCAUGUACUGCACUUCAUGCACACAUAUUUUGUGAACUGUCUGAUAUUACUUUGAAGAACUGCUAUCACUUUUAUUUAGAAUGGUCUGCGGAUUAUAAUUUUUUAGGAAUAUAAAUUUUUAAUUAUCUACGGUUAGUUUGUGGGAAGUAUUGAAGUCAAAGUACACCUUUUUUGGGUCCUUUUUCUUUGGUAACAUAAGCCUGCAUUGAUUGUCCUUCAUUCUUGGUAACAUAAUUUUCAUUAACUCUUGUUUAAUUUUCAGUUUUGACCUUUUUGUAUUCCUCUUCUAUAAAUGUAGGCCAACUUCUACCCUUCCUUUGCAGUUCAUUUCUCCUCUGGCCGCAACUUCUCUCCUUUCUCCAGCCUCUCUUUAUUUAUUUUCAUUUUCUAGGUUUUUGUUGUGAUGACUCCAGGCCCCUGCGUGAAUCUCUCCUGCUACGGUCAUGGUUAUGGUGUGCCGACGGACUGCGAUGGCUCAGCUUGUUCCCAGGCCCAUCGUGCUCGCCAGGGCGGCAAGGUCUUGUGCCGAGUUGGGAGAGCAGAGCAGCUUGCAUAUGGCACAGUAUUCACGGGAGGAUUGGAUAUGGGCUACAUCAACGCUGUUGUGUUCUAUUCCACCCUGCUUCGACAUGGCCUUGGCCGCACAAGUCCUUUUGUCUAUCAGCUUACGCCAACAGACGUGGAGACUCACUACAAGAUGGUAUUUUUCGUUAGAUAUGAUUUUUUUUCUUUGUGUUUUCUACUUUUUUUGGUUUCCAUUCUAUUCUGAACUUCUAGUAUGUUAGGAACACACUUUUUUUUGAAGUGUACUGCACUGUGUUCUUAUUUCUUGUUUUUAUUUUUUUGCUUGUGUGCAUGGAGCUUGUGUUUAGUUUGCAUGGUUACAGUAUGUGAACUACUUAUAUAUUAGCUGAGCACUACAUGUUUCCACAAUUUUACCCAAUUUGUACGGUGUGUACUACAUGCAGCUAGUCUCGAGAACUGCAUGAUAGUUCAAAGCGUACUACAUAUUUGCAAGUUCUGUACUGCAUAUUAAAUUGUGUUUUAUCUGUACUGCUUGUUGGACUAUUGUGCACUUCAUCUAGCUCGUGUCUGUACUGUGUGUAGGUUUUUACUGCUCUGUGCACAGUAUGAGAAUUGUACUGCUAGUAUCGUUCUCAAACAGUUUUAUUAUUUUUUUUGCAGAAAAUCCCCCAACGAGCUGUUAGGUAUCUCCGGCUGAAGAAGAAGGGAAUUCUCCAAGUUGUUCUUGGCAAUGGACACCUAAAACCAGCCAAGUACCAUGUAGGCGUUGAUGGGCGGCUGUAUCUGCAGAAAGGCUGGAAGGAAUUUGUCAUUGAAAGUGACCUGAAGUCUGAGCAAGUUGUUUUCCUCAACUUCUUUGAACUCGAGGAUCGUACGGUUAGAAUCACAUUUGACAUGAUUGGUUAAGGUUUAUGAGGUUAAUUGUAAUAAGUACUUUUGCGUAUCGAAUGCUUCAACUUUUCAUGUGUUUUCUAAUAAAUACUUUUGCGAUCUGAACCGCUUGAAUUAUAAGUCAGAACUUCGUGCUGCUUGUGAGCUAACUGCAUUUUUUAUGGGUUGUGAAUCAAAAUGUGUCAAUGUUUACUCUAUACAUCAUUUAUCUCAAUAUGGUUUAGCCUAUGCAUCAUUUCUCUCAAUAUGCUUUAGUUAAAGAACUCAUAGUCAGUGGGAGAUUUGUGUUUACACAAAAUUUAAACUGAUACAUAAGUCGUACAGAUAUGCAAACUGCUAUGUAUAUUAGUGAUUCAUUGAACUUCAUCUAUUUGGUCGUUAAUUUGCUGCUUCUUCGCGGUGACUGGAGUGUGUCUAAUGUCGCACUUUCUUUGGUUUUCCGUGGCGGUGUUGCUGGUUCUUGUCUUUGCACCAUUGUGUUUGUAGUCCCUCGCGUGCUUGUUGAUGGCGGCUUUUGUUUUCCAGCACUGUGAACUGCAUCCUUCUUUGCUCCUCGCGUAUUGGUUGAUGGCGUCUUUUGUUUUCCAACGCUAUGAACUACAUCCUUCUUUGCUCCUCGCGUGCUGGUUGAUGGCGGCUUUUGUUUUCCAACGCUGUGAAUUGCAUGCUUUCGUCCUCCUACCUGUUUUUUUGUAUGUGGUGUUGUUCUCGGUUGUUUCUGUACAGCAACAUUCCCUUGUGUUUUUUAUCUUUUGUUUGGUGGUCUUGUGGGCAUUGUUUCAUCGUGUUCUUCGUCAUCUUCACUCUCUUCUCCCUCUUCUUCUCUCCUUCAUCUGCUUCUUCACAACCCUCUCUUUCUUCAGUUUCUCCACGUUCUUCGUCCUCUUCACUCUCUUCUUCUUCCUCCUGUUCUUCAUUUGCUUCUUCAUAAGCCAUUUCUUCUUCAGUUGUGUCACCAUCUUCUUCUGUGAUUUCAUCUUCUUCGUCUUCCUCGUUUUUUGAUCUUGUUAUUUUGGGCCAGGUUCUUGAAUUGUGUCUCUUCCUCUUUUUGCAGAUGCUGCAACAUCUCGGUUCCAUCCAUUUCUUAAUGUUGUGACUAGAAUUUCUGUUUGGUUGUGCAUCGCCAUGUUCUCAGUUUUCUUGUUCAUGUCUUUUUUUGUACAUGUCCUCGAAUUGUGGCCGCUGAUUUCGUUACAUGUCUUACACCUUCUUAUUCCUAGUGGGUGACCAUCACUGUCCAGCUCAGGCUGUGGCUUACUGUUUUUGUCAUCAUUUUUCUCCUUGCAUGCAACCUUUUUCUGGGUUGCGUCGCCCCCUUUCUUCCUUCCUCUUGUGUUUGAAACGGGAGACAGAAGAAUUGUUUCUUUUUUGAUAGCACCAGUUGCAUUGUGUUCUGUAUUUUUCUACUAGCUCGACAUUAUUGUCAUGUUGGGAUUUCUCUGCUUGCUUUAGUUUUGCUUCUUCUUCUUCUUCUUCUUCUUUGUUGAGCACAUCAACUUCCUUGAUCAGUGCCCUCAUACCAGACAACGCUUUGUGGCACUUAGCGUCGGACCUUGUCGCUCUGUUUCCAAGGUCCAUUGCUGUUUCUGUCAGCAAUUUCCUACGGCAAAAAAGUGAGCUUCCAUCUGGUGUUGUUUGUCCAUAGUCUCUUCCGUCAAAAGUUGCAUUUGAUCUUGCGUUCUGGGUGUAUCUUUUCAUGAUGUACACCUCAGGAAUCUUGAGUACUCUUGGAUGAGAAAUCAUGCAUAACACAUGGACGCAAAAGAGCCCUACAGAUAACACAUUUUUUCUUUGUUUUGUAAGUGAACUGCAUGAAAUUAAUAAACACUUUUGUUGUUGUUAUUAUUUGUUAAUUCUUAAUGAAGUGAACUUCACUUGGUCUUGUGAAGUACUCAUGCAUGUGUAAUUUUAUAGUUCAGUAGGUGAGGUUUCAUGCAUGACUACCAGAAAUUAGGAUAUUUUUUUGUUAGCGAGUCGCACCUGUGUGUGUCCAGAGCUUGCACUCACAUUCAUAGACACCUUUCUGUUCGCUGGCGACCACUUGGAAAUUAUGCCUUGCCCGGUCAAAUGAAUCCGUUCUGUUGUAGUGGUGUACAAGGUACUUUGUCGGGUUCUCAGGGCACCGUUCUGCUCUGAAUGCGGUGCUGCGGUAGAGUGUUUCUUUGAAAUCCGCAAAAACUGCUCCUGUAUACACUUUUGAUAGCUGAACUUCGAACCAAAACUGGGUUGUUGUCUUUACCUCCGACUGCAUGAUCAAAAAUGCAGCGUUACGAAUAAGAGAAAUGAAAAUUUUGUUAGUUUUUGUAGUUAUAUUUAGCAGUUUUUGAUGGACAUUUUUAUUUACCUCAUUUGCUACUGUCUCUGCGUGCUCGACGACCUUCCUGGUCUGAAUGCACUUGUCCACCUGUUGAGCAAACAGAUGGAGAUCAUGCUUCUCUUUGACUAAGUUUUUCUUCAAUAUGCGGUUCAUGCUCUUGCUUCUCUGUGUGGAAGUCAUCCGAGAACAGAAAAUUUCCUUGUAGUAAGCUGAGAUCCACUCGUGCCUGUAAUCCCACAGCGAAUUCAUCACUUCGUCGUUUUGCAAGUUGUAAUUCUGAAUGAGGACCUUCCAUGCCCGUUCAAAUUCUGACGGCAUUAGUGGGUGGUUCAGCACCGCAUUGAGUUCAUCCUUUAGUUUCUCGUGCGCCUUAUGCAGCAAGGCGAGGUAGUCUUUGUACUUCUUCAUGAUAUACCACCGACACAACUUAUUAAUGUAUCUGGGAGGAUAGUUUUUAAUGAUGCCUUCAUCAAAGAACAUUGGUCUGAAAAGGCACAAAUAGUGUUUUUUCAUUAAGUUGUUUUGUGUGUAAGAAAGACAGAAGAAAUAGAAUUGUACAAAACAAACGUAAGUAUAUAGGUGUUUUUUUGUACCUGCGAGUAUGCAGAUUGGCGGCUUGUUGUUCAUACAGCUGAGGAAUGUCUUGAAAACCUACUGGAAUGACGGUAUUGUUUCAUCUCGCACAAGGGCGACAACAAAUAUGGUACUCUGUAGAUGGUGGUUCACUCCCACGAAGACUCCAAGUGGCAUGUGGAAUUUGUUAGUUUUAUAUGUCGUGUCAAAUGUAACGCAGUCUCCAAAAUCUUCAUACGGUCCUUUGCAACUUGCGUUGGCCCAAAAGACGUUUCUUACACGGUUAUCUGCAUCAACGUCUUAAUCUUAGAAGAACUCUGGGUUUAUCUUUUGCAUCUUCUCAAAGAAAUCCAGAAGUUUCUUGACGUCAUCUUUCGACUCUUCUCUGGCAAACUUUUGUUUCCUGCAUUUCAAAUGCAAUGCAAACUCAACUCAUCAAACAAGAAAUAUUUACCGACAGAAUGCUCAAGCGAUAUGGUCUGUGACGUGCUUACUUGUUGACCCAGUCACGGCUAGUAUGUCACAUAUACUGCAGACCACCGGACAUACACGACAACAUUGACAUCAUCUGCGCGUGUGUGUGGUUGUCUAGCUGCAUGUCCUUCACCAACUGGUCAAUCAAAGGAUCCUCUCUUUUGUGCAAGCGCAUGUGCAGAAGCAUCCCGGGGCUUUCCAGCAUCUUGUGAUUGUGAUUUAGUUCAACCAUGUCUAUCACAAAUUUGCCAUCCUUCCUCUUUUUGACUCUUAUUUUUGCCUUGCAGCCAAUCCUUUUUGAUGUCUUCUCACAUUUCCGGUCAUAAUCUGACACAGUCUGCUUGUGCGCCCCUUCUCUUAAGCAGACAAUGUAGGCAUUUGUCUUGUAUUUUGCCCUGUUGCGUAUGCCAAACCCUGCAUAUCUUGCAUAUGUGUUGUAAAAGUCCCAUGCUUUGUCGUACGUGGUGAACUUCAUUCCAGCGGCAGGUAUGAGGUUCAGCGGCAUGUUUUUAUCCUGCAUCAAGUGCAGUGCUCUAUGAGAUAAAGUGUUAUGUUCUAUUUAAAUAUGAGGAGUGCAUACGAGUUUAAUAAAGCACUGCAAUGUUCCUAAGUUUCCAGAAGAAUCGGCUAUAUUAGAUGUUAGGCCAAACCUCACAAGAAAUAUUAGUGUCCACUUCAAUGUUAUCUGAAUAUACUGCAAAUAUUAUUUUCAGGACAUAAAUUUACAUGCGUGUAAUAUCGUUCAUCUGAUGGCGUUUGCAGCUAGCCAGGUUGUAUUGGAUAUGGCGGGGUUAUAGCAGAUCUGUGUAGUUGAGGAUCUCGCAGCGGCAAUAGUGAGGAGGAUUUGUACCUGCCGUCGACUUUUGACCGAGAAGCCCUUGGUGGUUGCAUUGUCAAAGUUGAUGCAGCAGGUCUUCUUGGAGCUCUGUUUUUCGGUGCGGCAGGUGGACAGUGAGCUCUGUUUUGUGGUGCAGCAGGUGGACACGGUGGUAAUCCUGUCACACCCUGCAUUUUGUAAAAUAUCAUUUGCAUUAUUAAAGCAUGAAAAUUUGGACCAACAAUUUUUUUGCAUUAUUUGGCUUUUAUUUGGAGUUGGUUUUCUCUCUGUGAUUUUUUAAGUGCUCUUUAAAGUCAACACAACUCCACCCUAUAUACUUCAUCUCCUUGCCCCAAACUUCUGCCCAAUGAUCAUGCCAUGUGUAUAGUGCAAUAUAAUAUUUUCAUACAAAAAUAAUUUGGCCAAAUAGUAUUUUCAAAAAUUAGUCUUUCCAAAAACCCCUAAAUUGAGGUUUGCACUGCAAGUACUUGAUUUGGGAUAUGAAAAAUAUUUCAAAGUGUAUAUUUGAAACCUAUUAGAUAUAGGACUCCCAUGAACCACAAAAAUAUAAUUUUUAAAACUUAUUUUCCUAUUUUAUUUAAAAGCUUCUUCUUAAGGCCAGAAAUGGUCUUUAAUAGGGAAAAAUUAUUUUAUUGUUUCAAAAAUAUUUGACAAAAAUCAGGAAAACUCAGUGGACAUAUAUUAUCCAUAUAUAAGAGUUUCAACACAUGGUCAUGUUAAAAAUAUUGGACAAAACCUCCCAAAACCAUUUCUGCCCAUUUCAAGGAUUUGAAAUAUUUCUACAGGAAAUAUUUUCAUAAAAAUCCAAGGAAAAUCCAGCAAGUCACAAAUGAAUAUUGUGAUCACCUUGCAAAGACUCAUGUCAAUUAAAGUCUUUUUGGUUCACCAAAAUGCCCCAAAACCCUCUCUGACCAGAACCAAAUUUGAACAACUUUGUACUACCAACUUUCUCUCCUUGACCCCAACUUUUGUGAACAUGAUCACCUGAAUAAAUGAGGCCACCACACCAAGUGGUGCAUCAAGGAGAAGUGAUUUGCUCAACUAGAUCUGCACAAGUUCAUUGCUGCCAAUUUCUAGGGUUUACAAAAGUUGCAUUGGCAACUUUGCCCAAAUGAGCUCAAAAUGGGUGAAAGGCCCUAAUUAUAUGUGCCAUUUAACCCUGUGGAGUCACAUGACAAAUGGGAAUCAUCUACUUGCCCAAACCAGCAUCAAACACCUUCUGCCACUUUACCAGAAUCCCUUUUUUGGCCUCUCCCACUAAUCUCCAUGAGCCUGCUUUUUAUCACAACCCCUCCUAGUUCCCCUCUAUCACCUGGAUGCUUUCCUGCCCGAGGAAGCAAUGAUGAAGGGAGGGGGAACCCCAUUUUUCUUCUAUGGACAACAGAUUCCUCCCUCUCUCUCAACCUCCUUCUCUCCCCUUAGCUUUCCAAAGCAUCCAAGGCUCUCUCCAGCUUUUGCCCAUGCCCCCUCCAGUUGCCAGACACAAGUGGACGCGCGCGGACGCGGGAAAACCGCGGAUGCCGGCCAAAGUCGCGCUCUGGAGCGCCUGGCAGGGCACCCGACCGUUGACGCCGCGUCCCCCGACCACCUCGAGCCUCCCCCGCGCGCCAGUCGAUGCCCCUCGAUGUCCGCUCCACGCCAGCAGGCUGUCCACUUGCUCCCGCGCCCUCCUCUCUCUCCUGCAGCUCGCGCCAGAGCGCCGCCCUGAUCGGCCAAUGCUCGCGCCGCUCCUAUGGCCCGCCCGCGGCUCGUCCCGCUCCUCUUCCCUCUCCCUAGCACCCUAGACCACCCCCACGAACACCCCCGAGCCCUCCAUUCCCUCUCUAACGGCCACCCGAGCCGAUCCCGCGGGCACCGUAGGCCACGCCUACGGUGGACCUCGGCCAGCCUAUAUAAGGUGACCCCGAGCCCCUCUCUCACUCCCUGUCGCUCCCCCACUCCUAAUCAACCUCCCGCACCCCCCAUUCACCUCGAGAGCCGCCCGAGCUCGACAUCGAGCUCGAGCCCCGCCGCCUCGGCUCGUCGGCGUUCGCGCGGUACAUGCCUCCUCCACCCCCAUUUUCUCUCGAUCUGGAACCGCGCGGCAACGCUGGCCCUUUCCCCUCUCUUCGCCACUCUUUUUGCAGCCGGGAACAUUCGGAACCAACGACGCCCGAAGCACCUCCACCGUGUGACCUCGUCACCGGUCACCAGGCUGCUCCGGUGACCAUCUCCACCACCACCCGAACGUCGACACCUCCCCGAGUCCAACGGUACCACCCACGCAUCCCCUCGUGCCCUAUAUCACCGCGGGCGAGCUCGCCGUCGCCUCUGGACGAAGGUAGACAACGACGAUCGUGGGCCCUGCCCGUCAGCCUCACGCCCUGAUGGGUGGGACCCACCUGUCAGGUUUAAAAACACAUGCGCGCGCACCGGUUCGCCCGUCGGCUGAAGGCGUACUCCGCCUUUACGCCUUCGACGUGGCGGCCUUGCGUGGGCCGAUUUCCCCCUGGGCCUGCUGCACUGUGGCCUUUCUGGCCCAGUGGCACAAUGCCAUUUUUCCUUUUUCUUUUCGGUCAAACUUACAAAAAUUCCUCUGGACUAAAUAUUAAUCCAAAUGAAAUAAUUCCAGUUCCUAAAUUCUUGUAAAAAACCACCUUUUUAAUGGUGCAACUUUCAUUCAAAUCCAACAACCUUUUCUUCACUGUAAAUAUUUAAAUGUGAUUUUAAGCAUUUAAAUAUACCUUUGUAAAUCCAUUUCUCCUGUUAUGCCACUCAAAAUCCAAAACUAAGAAUUUUUCUCUUCUUAGUUUUCACCCCUAGUAUUUUACAAAAAUAAGUUGACAUUUUUUUGAGCACUUUGACUUUUCUGCUUUAUUAUUGUCUUAUUUUUCCGUUAUUUUCUUGCGACGUUUAGAUCCCGUAUUUGACAAAGUAGCUGAAGAAGAAGGAGGAGAAGGAUUUGAAGACCUCGAAGAACAAGCCAAUCAAGGCAAGCAGCCCUUUGACCAUGUCUAUGGAACCCUUUUUAUGCAUGUCAUAUAGCACCAUAUUGUUGUUGCAACGGAAUCAUGAUGAGGUGGUAACCACUUUAAUGGUUUGCCACCGUUCUUCCUCGUUGAUACUUGCAUUGUGCAUGACCCUACCUUCUUAUGAGGGUUAUGCCGGUGGGAGUAGAUAGGAUGCUAAAGUAGUUGUUACGCAAAAGGGGCGGGAAUAUGCAUGGUGAUGGAGACAAAGUAUUUUCAAAAGACUUAUCGAAAAUCCCAUCGGGUGCCACUUAUGCCCGGGGGGAGAUGAUGAGUUGGGUAGCCACUUGAUGACGGAGUGGUGUACCGAGGCAAGUGUGUGUUGUUUUCAAAACGGAUUGGUUUAAGUUGCGACUGUUAUUCCAACCUUACAUGUGCAACCACUCUACCCUUGUAUGGGAAAGGGCAUUAUUGAUUACCUAGGCCGAUACUAGCUUGGAGCCCGCAUUACUAGUGACGGGGUAGAGUUGGUGCUCUCUCUCGGGACGGGGUCGUGCCAGGUAGGGCGGCCAUGACUGUUUUCACAGGGCACCGGAUACACCGUUGUGUCCCCUCUCGGGUGUUACGAUCUCGAGUGAGUCUCGUAUGAUGUACAUCAUGAGGGUAUGGAACAAUGAGGGGACUCCUUGUUAGUGUCGUCUAGGGAAAGGUAGUGAUCGGGUGCUUACCUCGGGUACUUGAGGUAUCGCGGGUCGUGAAUGACACGGAAGUUCCCUGGAUCUUGUGGGUAAAGUGUGCAACCUCUGCAGAGUGUAAAACUAUUCGAAUAGCCGUGUCCACGGUCAAGGACAGUUGGGUAACCGCUCUUGGGCUACGUCCACAUGUUUACAAACCAGUGUGUGUUUGGAUAAGUGGGAAGGUCUACUUGGGUCAAGUCAAAGGACUUGACAUGAUUGAGUUGGGUUGAUGCCCAUUCUAUUUAUGUUGAUAUCUGUAACAUGUCCUCAUGGUUACUUGAAUCCUCCGGAUGCAUGUCUUACAAGUUGUUGAACAUGUCAUUGCACUCAAAACUAGCUUUCUGCAAAAAUUUACCUAUAUCAUGCAUUGUUUCAUCUUGGACCAAAACAUGGGUUGCUUGCGAGUACAUUCAAAGUACUCAUUGGCUUGCCACUGGUUAUUUAAUUGGCCAGGCAUGGAAGAACAGGAGUUCGAAGAAGAGUUCUUUGGAGACGAACAUGCGAACUAGGACGUUUCCCAGUCAGAAUGCCUGUAGGGUUAAGGCAGAUGGCAUGGGUUCUACUUAUCGACGAAGAUUUCCGCUGCUUAAGUUUAUUUGGUAUUCAGCCCUUGUGGCUUAUCUAUGUAAGACUUGACCAUAAUGGUCAUAAUUUGUGUAAGACGGUAUGUAUGGAUGUAAGACUCUUGUUAUUCAUCUUCUGUGUGUUCAGUGAGCAUUGAUCUCUGGGAUCACUGUACAUGUGCAUUCGGUGAUGUCGACUUAUGGUUCGGGGUCCCCACAAAUCCAGUGUUGUGUUGAUCUCUCACUGGAUUGGUUUGAAAAUUUGGAGCGGCAGCACACCAUCAUAAUCAUCAUCUGCUGCAACAUCAUGUUCCACUGCAUCAUCAUUGUCUGUUCGGACAUGAUGUCCAAAUGUAGUGAACUCGUGCUUGUACUCUGGUUUGAGAAGUGUUAUUGGCUUAUCUUCAUCGUCAUCAUCUUCAUCAUCCCGUCGGUGAGUGCACUCCCACACGAAGGUGACAUCAUCGUCAUCUUCGACUACCUCUUCUUACCUGGAAAAAACCUCUUCCAGAAAGUAUUGCACCCUGUUUGUUGUAGUGUAGAAUCCUCAAGGAAUCUCAGGUGUAACCCAGCCAGUGUCUCUUUCAGAAGAAGUUUUACUCUUCUGAAAGUUGUUGUUCCCAGGGUUGUCAAUUAUGCAUGGCAUUUUGUAUCUGUUGAACAUCAUUUCCUGCACAAAAUGGUUGAGCUGCAUCGUCAGGUUAAAUGAACUGAAUCAUCCGAACUGCAAUGUGUUCGAAAUAGUACUGCAAACAAAUGCACGCUGACUGCAUAACCCCGCAAGGUGAACUGAAGUAACCGCACUGCAUCAUUGUCCAUAAUGAACCUAUACAACCGUAUUGCAUGUCCCAGCAAGCGUACUGCAAUACCGAGAAACUGCACUGCAUUUUUUUUCACGGCGAACUGAAGUAACCACACUACAUCGUUUUUGGAGGCGUACUGUACUCCUUUGUCUCGAAUAAGCAAAUUGAGAUAGUUGAGGAAGUGUACUGCUUACCUCAUGUUGCAAUGCUUCCUUGCAUUUGCAGGAAGAAGUUCCCUUCUCAUCCGCCUGCAGAACUUUUGCAUUCACCCGUGUAGUCCACUUGCCCUUCAGAAGUUCAUGGGCGGUAUUGACGUUGCUCAAGGUGAGUGGUGACGGAGGAUUUGCUCUUAAGGUGGUUGCAGCCUUAAUCCAAGAAGAUGUAGUGGAUGAAUGAAACUUGCGCACGGUCCUCCUUGCUCGAAUUGGUGCAAUGUCGAGGCAGCACCAAUCCACAUCUGAUGAAGUGCAGUUAAUUGAAGAUUCUCUCCUCAAUGUUGUGGUACUUGAAGGCCCGGAGGAGAUCUGCGGUGGCGCUCCCUGGCCGCUACCGCGGUAGAAGGCCGAGAGGGGAGGGGCGGCGGCGCCCCCUGGCUGCUGCCACAGAAGAAGGCCGGGAGGGGAGGGGUGUCGGCGCUCCCUGGCGGCUGCCGCGGGAGAAAGCGGGAAGGGGAGGGGCGGCAUCGGUCCUAGGCCGCUGCCGCAGAGAAGGCCGGGAGGGGAGGGGCGGCGGCGCUCCCUGGCCGCUGCCGCGGUAGAAGGCCAGGAGGGGAGGGGCGGUGGCGCUCCCUGGCCGCUGCCGCGGUAGAAGGCGGGCAGAAGAGGGGCGGCAGUGCUCUGGUGGGGAUGUGCAGAAUAAGCCAGGUGUUAUUUGAAUAAGGUCUUAAGGGGGUGUUAUCAUAAUAGACCAUAUGUAUGUAUGUAUGUAUGUAUAUAUAUAGGGUGGGUCUAUUAUGAUAACACCCUUAAGACUCUUAUUCUGCACACCGAAACGUCUUAUUCUGAUAACACCUCUAUACUCCGACAACCACUGGCAUGCCCCACUACCCACCACUCCCCACGAGCCUGAGGGCCACAACCUCCCUCCCCUUACGCAUCGGUGCCCCGCACCACCACCACCUACCCCAAGCCCGGCCGCCCACCACCACUCCCAUAGCCGGCGGCCACCGCGGCGCCCCACCCCACCACCACCACCAGAACCCCGCCCUUCUCCCACCCCACCCCGCGCACCACCAGCCUCCCCCUGCUCUGCCUUCUAAUCCCACGCACCGCUUCCAGACCCCUCUCCUGCAGCUAGACCGCCCCAAAGGAUCUGCCACGGCCACCAGCAGCCACGGAUCUGUCGGCCGCGAGCACCCAAUCGGCGACCAGAGCCUUGCNNNNNNNNNNNNNNNNNNNNNNNNNNNNNNNNNNNNNNNNNNNNNNNNNNNNNNNNNNNNNNNNNNNNNNNNNNNNNNNNNNNNNNNNNNNNNNNNNNNNNNNNNNNNNNNNNNNNNNNNNNNNNNNNNNNNNNNNNNNNNNNNNNNNNNNNNNNNNNNNNNNNNNNNNNNNNNNNNNNNNNNNNNNNNNNNNNNNNNNNNNNNNNNNNNNNNNNNNNNNNNNNNNNNNNNNNNNNNNNNNNNNNNNNNNNNNNNNNNNNNNNNNNNNNNNNNNNNNNNNNNNNNNNNNNNNNNNNNNNNNNNNNNNNNNNNNNNNNNNNNNNNNNNNNNNNNNNNNNNNNNNNNNNNNNNNNNNNNNNNNNNNNNAUGCGCUGCCAUCUGGCUUGCCGGUGCAUGGCAUUCAGCCGAGCUGCCGCCCUCCCCUGUGGUGGACGGAUCCGGCAUGAUCCCAGUCAUCGUGAUGGAUGCUCACCGGCCAAUUUCUUGUCACGGCGGCCAUCCCUGAGACCCAACGCCCAACGCCCGCCUUCCUAUGGUGCCUGGAGAGGCCCUCGUGGCAGCCCGCCUUCCACCACCGGCCUCCGUGCCAUUCACGAGGUGAAGCCACCUCCCAGUUUGCAGGGGUGUGCGCGUGCAGCAUGACAGGCGUGAUGGUGCAGUCCGGCAGGGUAGCUCAUGCAGUGCUCACACGCCACAGCAACACCACCUCCGCCCCCACACGGUGGGGUACUAUCGUGCAGUUCGCCCCAUCCUCUGGAUCCGCGGCCAUGGGCGUCGUCCUCGUCGUCAGCAAAGGACGAGGGAGGCAACAGAAGUCUGAAUCGUUGGUAAGAAUCGGCUAAGCUCUCUGCGAUUUCUAUUUUGUUAGUCUUCCUUCCGUGCUCAGGUGUCAGUUCUAGCUAUGAUGUGCGUUGAUUUCUGUUUGACUGGCUUUCCCGCAGAUGAGGGGGAUGGAUUUAUGAUUUGUACUAUGGUCAUCUAACCAUGUCUCCAAUUUCUGUUUGGUUGGCUUUGAUCAGGAGGAAGGAUUUGGAGGCAUGGAGCCUGCAGCCGACCGUCAAGGCCGGGCUGCUGGCUAAAUGCCGAACAAGCCACCCGGGAGGAGCUCCUCGAGUCCGACAUGUCGGACACACUCGCGGUGAGCUAUCCAUCCCUCACGUUUCCGCCUCUGAAGGUUUGCAGCUGCUCGUGGCACGAGGAAGAAAGGCCUAUCUGCCUUUGGAACUCUAUCGCCAGACCACCCCGUCGCAGCUUUGUUCUCCCCAACAUGUACUUCACCCUGUCGUAGCUCGCGGCUCCCUCCUCCAACUGCAGUUCAUUUGAUUUUAGUGUUGAAGCUCACUGAAUCUUGUUUUGUAGUUCGCUGGGGGGUGGUUUGCCGUUUGCACAGCUCGGGUCGGGCUGUCCGCAGCAUGUGGAGUCGCGAGCAUGGGCGUGCAGUGCGACACGUCGGUGCGUGCAGUGCAGCGUGUGGGUGUGUGUAGUGCUCAAUGAUGGUUGUGGAGCACCAGGGGACGAGCACCACGUCCCCACCCCCUGUGUUGAUGGCCAAAGUCGAAGGAACCCCUGUGCACUACGGUGCUAGUUGUUCUUCUUCUACGGGUCAAACGAGCUAAGAAAAGUUGGGGUCAACACCACUCUUCCGCAUGCAGUGCACUUCACCUCAUGAGUGGUUGCAGUUUAGAGCGUGUGUGCGAGCAGAGGAGGACAUGUGCUUGCAGUUGAAAGCGUGUGUGCGUGCAAUGCGCCCGUUUUGGUUGACUUAUUCAUUUUUCGAUGGGGUUCACUUUGUUUGUAGCAGCUCACUACCCCUUUGUAUGAAGUGCAAUUUAUUUCAUGUGUUCCAAAACUCACUUGGCUAAACUCAACACCUGCAGUGCGUUUGGUCCUCGGAUGUGGUUCACUUUUGAGAGUGAUGCUGUUCACUUGCGUAUGAGAAAAAAAACGUUCGACAAAACAAAUUAUGCAGCUCACUAGCCCAUCCGAUGCAGUGCGGUUUUCAUUUAGAAGCAGUGUGGUCGGCCGUAUGAUGUUGUUCAUCCCGUAAGUGCAAAAAAAUUGUUACGAAAGCGAAAAAAAGUAAUGCGGUUCACUUUUUGGUACUGUUGUGGUUCAUUUACACCUGAUGUGAAGUGCACUCUACUUUCUCGUUCUUGAAAAAAAUCACGUUUGAAUAAAAGAAAUCAUGCAGUUCUCUUAACCGUGUGAUGCAGUGCGGUUUUUCGUCUGUUGCAGUGUGGUUUUCAGUCGGAUGAAGUACCCACGUCGAUUUGGGUGUCGCGAAAAACAGAGUGUCCGCAUUUCGGUAAAUUCGAAAUUCCUCUUAAACCAUAAAGAAUUAGAGAGAGUGUUAUACAUGAAAGAGUUGCGUAUCGUCGAUAUCUUUCCAACAGCGUAUCGUUUGAAUCAUUCCGACCAGCGGUUUGUAAAAAUUUCGCCAAAAACGGCCGCUGCCACUCGUCGUCCGCCGCACGACUUUCAAAAUUAACUUAAAACCGUAAGGAAUCCGAAAAAUAUUUCAACAUAUGAAAGUUGCGCCUCGUUUGUAGAUUUCCAACGGCGUAUCACACGCCUCGUUUUGACAAACGGUUCAAAAACUGAAGCGAAAACAAUAUCGAAAAUUUUAAAAAACUUGAAAAACAGAAUUCCGUGAUUUAGUAAAUUUGAAACUGCUCUUAAACCGUAAGGAAUUAGAGAAAGAUUUAUAUAUAAAAAAGAUGCGCCUCGACGAUAUCUAUCCAAUGGCAUAUCGUUUGCUUCAUUCCGACGAGUGGUUUAGAAGAAAUCACGAAAAAAACACUCGCUGCCACUCGUCAUCCGCCGCACCAUUUUCAAAACUGCUCUUAAACCGUGUGGAAUCUCGAAAAGUGUUCAACAUGUCGAAGUUGCGCCUAAUCCAUAUCUUUUCAACGUUAUAUUACACGCCUCAUUCCGAUAAACGGUUAAAAAAUUAGAGCGAAAACAGUACCGAAAAAAUAACGCGUGCAGUUUUUUUCGACGAGAAGUUCACUCGUGUGAGUACUGCAGCACACUUGGUUCAAAGAAUGACGUGCACUUGCGUUCAGCGUACAGUGUGGAAGUGGUGUGCAGAAUAGUUAUUCUGCUAAUAUAUAUAUAUAUAUAUAUAUAUAUAUAUAUAUAUAUAUAUAUGAUACUAGCUAGCUAGUCUAUGAUAUACUAGCUAGCUCUACCUCACUAAUGCAUAGUAUCAUAGAGUAGUAUCAUCUAGUACUUUAUUUAUUGUCAUGCAUGACACAUAGUAGCAUAGCAUUUAUUAUGACAUGGUUUCAUGAUAUGAUACUUAACCCUCUCUUUCUUCAUUUAAUUCUAUGACAGCUCAUCAAAAUUGCCUAGUUGGUAUGACACUAGCUAUGAUAUCCCAUUACGACCAGCCUAGCAAAGAAGGUGUACAGAUCAUUUGUGCGUCGCUUUGCAAGUUUUCAUCCGUUUGUUCAAGAAGCGGGAGAAGUUUCAAACAUUUCGGGCGCGAGGUGCGGCCACUGGCGUAGGGCUAGUUGAUAUUUUAGUUACAGUAAAUUCAGAUGGAGUCUGGACAUCAUCAAAAUCGAUGCGUGCCUGUGGCGUGCUAUCACGACCUCGUGAAAAAAAUUUAGUAAAGUUUGGCACAAGUUUUGAUGAUCGCUCCUUCCAAACCGGAGCAUCUCACAUGAAGGAUCAUGGUUUCCCAAAGGAGACGUGUCAAUUCAAACUCCUAUGGCCGGUGACUUCAUCGUUUGUCCUCAUAAAUAUUUCCAUGGUACGCAAUCACCGUUAUACCACGGGUUUUAUUUUCUGGCGCAUUUCAGGUAUCGUUAGCUAUAUUUAAGACAUUUUUUGAAUUUAACGUGCAUUUUGUGCAUAAAAAUAACAUUACAACCGGAACUGCCUGUGCUGUCGAAAGGGAUGAGGAUCGUAGUUCGAUCUGGGAGCAUCCAAUGGUGUAGACGUAUGAUCCGUGGGGUGUGGAUUCUGGCCAAUCAGAACGCACGACUCAGAUCAUGGGCGGGGUUUUGUCGGCACACGACUUUCAUCAACAAACCAUGUGCUAUUCGCAAACCAGAUUGCAUACAUAUUUUUGUUCAUACAUACUGUAGUGAGAUCAAUUGAGUGUGUACAUCAACAGAAAACCAGACAUAACUCACAAAUUUAGUACACGCGGCAGUUCUAAAUUGAACGAAUUAAGUUGCAGGGUAGGCAUAAAGACUAGUCUUACAGCUUAAUUCCCAUGUACAUGGGGGAACUGGGAUCAUUACGUUGACCCCGAAUGAACUUGGGUUUUCUGAUGAUUUUACGCUUCUCUGUUACACGUGUGCGUGAUCCCUUGGCUGGCAACUCAUCAAAUUCAUCGUACUCGUCCUCAUCGGCAACAUCGUCGACACCCAGUACCCUCCUCUUCCCAUGCAUCACUACAUGGCAGUUCUUAUGCAAAGGGUCUUCCGCAAAGAAAAUCUGUGUAGCAUCGCUGGCAAGAAUGAACGGCCAUCGUUGUCCUGUGAACACAAGUCUUCCUAUAAUCAUCAACCUUUACUUGACCAAGAGGGAUCCAUGAGCACCUAAAUAAUGCCACCUUAACUUUCACAUAGUCAAGCUCCCAAAUCUCUUUGAUUGUUCCAUAGUAUACCCUUUUAUCAGCUUCAUCUAUAGUCAUGCAUUCUAUUCGAACAGAGUUGUUCUGAUGUGAGGUCUUCUCAUCACAUUCAUCAGUGUAGAACGUGUAUCCAUUUAUGCCAUAUGCUUGGUUCGUCAACACCGCAGGUGAUGGCUUUUGUGCCUACCACGUAGCAAUGUCAUCGAUGGAUCCUUGUGCCAAACGCUUCUUCAGCCAUUCGUCGUAGUUCUUAGUGUGCUCCUUCAUCUCCACAUCUGAUGAAGGCACCAUUGGUAAGAAGCUUUGGCGUAUCUCCGCCAAGUGUUCUUUGGCGUAAGCGCUGAGAACUGGGCUGUUAAGCAGUAUCGUCAAAUGGGCUUUCUUUGCCAAUUCUCCGGGUGCAGCCAUUUGCGUGCCAGCAAGGACCGGCUUACCUUUCAGCCUUCCCUCGUGGCGAGAGAGGGGCAAACCUAUAGGUCAUUGUUUCAUGUAUUCGGUGCAAAACUCAACCACCUCCUCUGUGGUAUAACCUUGAAGGAUGCUUGCCUCUGGAUGGUUUCGGUUAUGACAAAAGCGUUUCAGUAUUCCCAUGAACCACUCAAAGGGAUACAUGUUGGGAAGAAACACAGGACCACAAUACUUUAUCUCGUCGACAAGGUGCAUAGUGAGAUGGACCAUGACAUCAAAGAAUGACGGUGGAAAAAACAUCUCUAGGUUGCACAAUAUUCUUGCAAUAUCAUCUUGCAUAUGAUCCAGCUCUUCAGGAUCUACAACUUUCUGUCAUAGUGGGUUGAAGAAAUCACGGAGCUCAAUGAGUGUGUUCCUUAUAUGUUUGUCCAACAGUUCCUGAUGGCCACCGGGAGAAUUUGUGUCAACAUUACGUGGAAAUCAUGUGACUUCAUGUGUCCCAACUUCAUUUUACCUGAGCUCACAUCCACGAGACUUCUGAUGUUUGUGGAGUAGGAAGAGGGUGUCUUAACUAACAACAAAUAGGUGAAGAACUGUGUUGCUUCUUUUGUACUGAAAUUGUAACUCUGGCGAGCUUUGAUGAAUUUGUCAUCAUCUUCUGCGUCACUCUUUCCUUUUGAUUGAUCAGCAAGCAUCUCGAGCCGUGAACCCUCACCAUCCUUUCUUUUACCUUUAAUCUUGAGCAGAGUACCAAGGAUGCUUUCACAUAUGUUCUUCUCAACGUGCAUGACAUCGAUGCAGUGACGUACACAUAGAAUCUCCCAAUAAGGUAAUUUCCAGAACACCAAUUUCUUCUUAAACACUUGACCCUUGGGUGUUUGUUUCACCGUCAAAGCGUGAUUCUUGCCAAGCACAACAUUAAUUUGUUUAGCCAUGUUGUGGGCCACCUCCCCAUCAUAGGGUCUUGGGCCCACUUCUACCUCUGCCAUACCAUCAAAUUCAGCUUUCAUCUUUUGGUAUGGGUGAUUUUUCCGUAAGAACCUACGAUGACGCAAAUACAUGGUUUUGCAUGAGUUGGGAAGUCUUCUGCUAGCUAUCCUAUCCAUGCAUGUGACACACCCUACAUCUCCCUUUGUUUUCUGCCCCGAUGUGUUGCCUAAUUCCGGCAUAUCUUGAAUGGUGUGCACCAGCAUCGCAUGUAGAUCGAAAAUCUCCUUUUUGUAAGCAUCAUAACAUUUUACAUUAGGUGCAUCUAUCCACACUGUCAGCAAUUCUUCUACCAGUAGCUGAAAGUAAACGUCAAUGUCAUUUCCAGGUUGCUUCGGCCCUUGGAUAAUCAUUGACAUCAUAAUGUAUUUUUUUCUUCAUACACAAUCAAGGAGCUAGGUUAUAUAUGCACAGAAGCACCGGCCAUGUGAUGUGAUUGGUCCUAAUAUCGCCAAAAGGAUUCAUCCCAUCGGUACACUCCCCGAGCCGUAUACUUCUAGGAUCCUUGGCAAAGUCUUCAAACUUGUUCUCGAUUAAUUCCCACUGAGCCCCAUCUUUCGGGUGCGUCAUAUACUUAUCCGCAAUUUGCUCAUCAUGAUGCCACCGCAACCUCUUUGCCUCUCUAGGGUUUGAAAACAAAUGCCUCAACCUUGGAAUUAAAGGCAAGUACCAAACAACCUUGAACGAGAUUCCUGUCUUGAUCUUGUAGUCCAAUCUGUACUUGUCCUUUGCUCUCUUGCGCUUGUAUCGUGCAUGCUUUUAUUCGGGACAUGCACGCAAAUCUUUGUACUCACCAAGGUACAAUAUACAAUCAUUCACACAAGCGUGUAUCUUCUGUACUUCAAGUUCCAAUGGCAAAAAAAAUCUUCGCUUCAUUCGUGCUUCUGGGGAGCACAUUAUCUUCCGGAAGAAUUUCUUUGAAAAGACCUAACAUAUCUGUGAAGCCUUUGUUUGAUAAACUGUUUGCUGCUUUAAAUCUGAGAAGCGCCAGGGUGGCACUCAACCUGGAAUAUUUCCUUUUGCAACUUGGAUACAAUUUUUUCUUGGAGACCGCAUCAAUGGUUGGCAGAUCCUUGUACCCAAUCCUAUCCUUUUCUGGGCCCUUGAAAUCUACAAUCAUAGUAGCAAAAUCUGGCAUAUCAAGAUCGUCGUCAUCUGCAUCGACGUCUUGGUUUUCCAGUGGGCGUUUCGGCUUUCCGAUGUUCCAUUGGUAGCUUGACGCCUCUGUCCCGAUGUUAGAUUCAACACCCAUGUGACACUGAUCGGGGUUUGGCAUCUCGUAGCCCUGGCUAUCUUCAUCCGUGACCUCCUCUUCACCGUGUCUGGUCCAACGUGUAUAUCCAUCCAUGAAUCCCAGAGAGACUAAGUGUCAUUGGACAUCUGCAACUACAUGUGACUCUGUAUUGGCACAAUCAGUACAUGGGCACAUGAUGUAAUCCGCAUAACCAAUUCUCCUCUUUGUACUUUCAGCCAAAUUCAUGAACUUUGUCACGCCACUGAUAAAAUCUGCGGUUUUCCAAUUCUUCAUCCAUUCAGAUCGUUCCAUCUGCACCACACGAAUGGUAAUUAAAAACAAAACAACAACAUUAAUACACAGAUUAACUGCUGCCCAAUGAUGCGUGCAUAAAUCAUAAGGCUUUAUUUUCAUAAUUACUGAGGGCGCUCCAUAUUGUCAUCCAGACAUGGAAUGACAAAAAUUAAUGGCCAGUCAAUUUACACGCAGAGUACUAGUACAAAACUACCCUUAGGAAUUGGAUACCUUAAUUAAGUGACUCACAAAAAGAAUACCUUAAUUAAGUAGCCGCGCGGCGAUGUCAACCCAACAGAGAGAGAAGCGCGAUGCGGCGGCAUGCCGAGACAGCAGGGUCGAGGAGCAAAGCUUAGUGCGGCUGCCGCCUGAAGUUCGACCUCCACUAUACCGCCAUCGACCGCGAUGGAUGUGCUCGAAUCACGCCGACGACGACCUCGACAGCUGAGCUCCUCCUAUCCCCCGCCAUAGACCAAGGAUUGACCUCCUAUGACGCCACCGCCCACCGACCGAGGAUUGGCCUCUUCUCUGGUACCCUUGCUUAGGCCGCCGCCGCCAUCUCUAGAUGCAUACCGGCUGUUUUUUUACGGAUAUCCGCAGAGCGGCUGUUUACACGGUAUCACUCUAACUCAAUUAUAUGCACAGGGUAGUACAUCACAUACGGUUAUGUAACGAUAACCGUGUCUCACCUACGUUGUCUUCUCUCACACGGUUUGGUGCACAAAUCGUGUGUGACGUUGUAAUACCUGACACAAACGACAUGUAUAAACAAUGUGACGUAUACUCCAACAUAUAGUGCCAUAAGUAGUUCCUGACCGUUAGCUUAUCCCCACAGUUUCCCCAUUUCCCCCAAAUCCAUACAUAGCCUCCAAAUUCCCUCGCGUGGAGCUGACAUUGGGGGAAUGCGGGCGAGUGGUGCUGAUGGUUUCGGUGCAGCUGCUCCUGCUCGUAUCGUCGCCACGACGGCGGUCGCCGCCGGGCACUUGCCUAAGGUCAUCAGAAGGUAGGUGUACUAGGGAUCCAAAUCGUCCUGUCAGGUUCCAAUCUAUCCCGAUCUUUUUUAGCGUGCCCAAAGUAGCUCCUUGCAGAAUCCGUCCUAAAUUGACCCCCCCCCCAGGAAAGCGAUCGCCGCCCGAUCCGGAGCAUGACUCCAGACUCCCACAACAUGAGUUGGACUCCGAGUUUUGCGCCACCGAGAAGUAAGAAAAGCUGAGUUGUGUGUACGGAGACACUCCUGCUCGACGUGUACGCACGAAGGGAUUCGACAUCGGCAGGCUGAUUCUCAGUUGCCCCUUAGAGGUUAGUGCUAAGUUCAUCAUUUUACUUGAGUUAAUGCCACCGCUCAUCUUGAAUACUACUUAACAUUGGCAGGGAUAUGAGGCUUGUGCCUUUGUUAACUGGAUGGAUGAAGAAUGGCAUGGCAGGGCUCAGAGAGUUAUCACCAAGCUCGCAAAACAUAACGUUAAGUUGAAGAGGAAACUGGUUGAUCUGGAAUGUACAAUCAGUACGACGAAGCAAGAAAGAAUCAAUCACAGGCAACAGAUGAAAGCAAGAGACAAGAAGGAACAAGCAUAUGUAGUUGUGGUUGUCAUUUGCCAUGUUAUAUGCGCUGUUUGCAAUGAUGAUUAAGGGUUUUGUUUGUGAAAGCACAAGUGCUCCCUGGGUGAUUUUGGUAAUUAAUGUCAAUAUAUCUCUUAUUGGACGAAUACUUUCAUCAAGUAUAUUUCAGAUAAUCCCAAUAGUGGAGUGGCAUGGACAAGAGGAUGUGGAACCCCUUCAAGAUGCUAAGGACAAAGGAUUGGCUCAAGCUCAAAGCUCAGGACUCUACAUCUUCUAUUUUCAGUGAUCCAAGAUCACAUUGAGUGUAUAGGAAAGCCAAUACUAUUAAAAGGGGAUGAGGUGUUGCCUAAUGGCUUGCUUGCUCAAAGUGCUUAGUGAUAUGCUCCAAAGCCCUCAGCCAUUUUCUCAUAUCCACAUAUGUCCCAAACCAAAAGUCAAACUCGGCCCCACCGAUUUGAUCCAUCCGACGCCACCGAGUUCGUUUGACAUAGCCACUGCCAAAAACCCUAAGCCAUUCGGUCACACCGAUGGGAUCUCGGUCUCACCGAGAUGGGCUUGCAAUCUCUCUAUUGUCUAUUACAACAUUUUGGUCCCAUCGAGUAGAUGUAAUCGGUCACACCGAGUUUGUGUGACCAACUCUCUAUUUUACUUAUUACCAAAUCGGUCUCACUGAGUUGUGUAAUCGGUCAAAUUGAGAUGAGGUUUUACCCUAACCCUUGCACAUCGGUCCCACCGAGUUGAUCAUGUCGGUCCCACCGAAAUUGCCUAACAGUCACAUAUGUACUAAAUCGGUCCGACCGAGUUUUCUGAUUCGGUCCCACCGAGUUUGGUAUAAUGUGUGUAACGGUUAGAAUUUGUGUGGAGGCUAUAUAUACCCCUCCACCCUCUCCUCAUUCGUGAGGGAAGCCAUCAGAUCGUGCCUACACUUCCACUACCCAUUUUCUGAGAGAGAGCCACCUACUCAUGUGUUGAGACCAAGAUAUUCCAAUCCAACCAUAUGAAUCUUGAUCUCUAGACUUCCCCAAGUUGCUUUCCACUCAAAUUAUCUUUCCACCAAAUCCAAUCCUAUGAGAGUGAGUUGAGUGUUGGGGAGACUAUCAUUUGAAGCACAAGAGCAAGGAGUUCAUCAUCAACACACCAUCUAUUACCUUUUGGAGAGUGGUGUCUCCUAGAUUGGUUAGGUGUCACUUGGGAGCCUCCGACAAGAUUGUGGAGUGAACCAAGGAGUUUGUAAGGGCAAGGAGAUCGCCUACUUCGUGAAGAUCUACCCUAGUGAGGCAAGUCCUUCAUGGGCGAUGGCCAUGGUGGGAUAGACAAGGUUGCUUCUGCGUGGAUCCUUCAUCGGUGGAGCCCUCCGUGGACUCACGCAGCCGUUACCCUUCGUGGGUUGAAGUCUCCAUCAACGUGGAUGUACGAUAGCACCACCUAUCAGAACCACGACAAAAACAUUCGUGUCUCCAAUUGCGUUUGCACAGUCCUAUCCCAUCCCUUUACUUUCUUGCAAGUUGCAUGCUUUACUUUCCACUGCCAAUAUACUCUUUUCAUGCUUGCUUGAUUUGUAUUGUGAAUGGUUAAACUUGUGCUUAAACUCCACCUAAACUUGAAAACUUAAAAACUGCCAACUUUGUGUGUUAAGGGUCUAUUCACCCCCCUCUAGACACCUCUUCUCGAUCCUUUCAAUUGGUAUCAGAGCUUUGGUCUCCAUUGCUUUGGUUUAAACACCAUUGGAGGAAGAUGGAUGAGUCUACUUUGGGGAGUCUUAGACAUAGAGUGCCUAUACUUGGAGAGUACUUUCAUGAGUGGAAAAAUGAGAUGCUUGAGAUUUUAAAUGAAUAUCAUUUGAACAAGUACAUUACUAGACCUUGUGUACCUCAUGUUGAUCCUAUGAAUCCUACCCUUGAUGAGUCAAUUGACAUGAUUCACAAUCUUAGAACUGUUAGUCUUAUCACUAGAGGUUUUCCUAGAAACUUGAUAGGUUGCUUACCUACUCUUAAGUGUGCCUACACUAUAUGGAAAUUUCUUGAGGAACGAUUUCCAAAUUAUUCCUUGCAAAAUCUAGAUGAGAUUCUUCAUAAGUCUAUUGCCUUGAGUAAGAUGAAUUCCAAUGAUCCUAAGUUUGGUGAUUGUCUAUUUGAGCUUAGAAAUCUUAUGCGUGCUAAAGGAGAUGUUAGAAUUAUUAGCAAUAUUAUUUCCGAAGCUAUUAGAAUUCAUAAAGGAGAUCAUUGUCAAACUCAACUAUCUAAUGAAUCACCCUCUCUAGGAAUUGAUCCACCACAUGACUAUGUUGAACAUGGAUACUAUGAUGAGGAUGAUGAUAGUGACUUUGAUCUUGAUGAUGCAAUGAGACACUUUGGUCUUAUGGAAAAUCUUCGGGGAUACAUGGCAGGAGGAAAGGAAUGGGUUCUUGAUAGUGGAUGUACCGAUCACAUGACCGGAGAUAAAGAUAUGUUUCGUGAGCUUGCUGAAAACGACGGCCCUUGAAAGUAUGUCACUUUUGGUAAUAACUCAAAGGGUAAGGUGGGUGGCCUCGGUAAGGUGGCCAUCUCACAUGAUAGCUCCAUACAAAAUGUCAUGCUCGUUGAAUCUCUUGGCUAUAAUCUGCUUUCUGUUUCUAGACUAGCUGACUUUGGCUUCAAUGUUCUAUUUACCAAAGUAGAUUACCAAGAGUUUCAUAGAGAGUCCCCUUCUUCAUGGACAUAAUAAUACUUAGCUCAUGGGCUAUUUGGAUUUCCAGAAACAACAAGAUCUUUGAACAUAUCCACCCCACAUUUCAAGGAUGGAAGAACAUUUUCUUGAUGGAGCUGAAGUUACUCAAGCACAGGAUGAGAACAAAACAUGCCAACCAAUUCAACUCAUGGUUGGAUUUCAAGGAUAGUUUUGUUCUUUCUCUUUGGCAGCUCCUUCCUGCCUAGGUCUUUAGCUUUAGCUUCAGUUAUAGCCUUAGUCUUAGUCUUCUGUUUUGUUUUUCUAGCUUCUUUAGUUUCUUCUCUUUCUUCUUCUUCUUUUCUUCUUCUGCUCUUUUAGGGUGCUUCUCUCAAGCCCUUGCUGUUUUCUUCUUUCUUUGUAGCUCUGGACCUUGCACUUGCUUAGUUAUUUAUAAAAAUUGCAGUGGGGUGUUUUACCCUACUGUUUAUAGUAAAAAAAAGUGUUUCGUAGAGAUAAUCAUAAAAUGGUCUUUACCAAUAUACGCAAAGGUGAUCUAUACAUUGUUGAUUUCACUUAAAAGGCUCAACCCAGAACUUUCUUAAUUGCUAAAUCCUCUAAAGGUUGGUUGUGGCAUAGACGGUUAGGUCAUGUGGGCAUGCGAAACCUUGACAAGCUUAUUAAACGAGAUCAUAUCCUUGGUGUUAAAGAUGUCAUAUUUGAUAAGGAUAGACUUUGCAGCGCUUAUCAAGCAGGUAAAUAGGUUGGAGGAAGCCACCCCGUGAAGAACAUCAUGACCAUAAGGAGGCUGCUGGAGCUGCUUCACAUGGAUCUUUUCGGUCCUAAUGCUUACAAAGGUCUCGGUGGAAACUCAUUUGGUCUAGUUAUAGUUGAUGAUUUUUCAAGAUUUACGUGGGUGUUCUUUCUCGAUGAUAAAUCGCGGUCCAAAAGAUCUUCAAAAACUUCGCUAGGAAGGCCCAAAAUCAAUUUGAAGUGAAGAUCAAGAAGGUUCGCAGUGACAACGGAACGGAGUUCAAGAACGCAAAUGUGGACACCUUUCUUGACGAAGAAGGGAUUUUACAUGAGUUCUCGGCUACAUACACACCGCAACAAAAUGGAGUUGUUGAGAGGAAGAACCGGACGCUCAUCGAAAUGGCACGAACAAUGCUUGAUGAGUACAAGACGCCAAAGCACUUUUGGGCGGAAGUGGUUGAAACAGCUUGUCAUGCGACAAAUCCUUGUAUCUUCACAAGCUACUCGGCAAGACGAUAUACGAGCUCCUCACCAGUAACAAAUCCCAAGUUGGAUACUUUCGAGUAUUUGGCUCAAAGUGCUACAUUCUUGAUAAACUCGCCGUUCUAAAUUUGCUCCAAAAUCUCAUGAAGGUUUCCUACUUGGUUAUGGCUCAAACUCUCACACUUGCCGUGUCUACAACAAUUUCACCCGAAAGGUUGAGGAGACGGUAGAUGUGAAGUUUGAUGAAUCUAAAGGCUCGCAAGUAGAGCAAUUGCCAAUUGAUGUAGGAGAUAAAGAUCCUUCGAAAGCAAUCCAAGACUUGUCGAUUGGCAAAGUUCGUCCAACAGAGGUGAAGGAGAGUACCUCGUCCAUCGAAGUGGAAGCUUCUACCUCACGACAAGGUGAACCAAGAGUUGAUAUGGAAGCAUCCACAAGUGGGACACACCAAGAUGAAUAAAACAAGGAAGUACACCAAGAUGAACCACAUCAACCUCCUUCUCCACCACGACAAGGGAAUGACAACGUCAACCAUGAUGAAGGCCAAGAAGAAGAACGAGAUGAUGAAGAAUAUGUUCCACCCCGAUCAAAGCAAAAUCUCUCAUGAGUUCGAGCAAGAGUUGCUAGAGACCAUCCCGUCGAGCAAAUCUACAAUGGUAUCCAAACCGGGAGAAUCACUCGCUCUAAAUCUCGUUUGGCUAAUUUUUGUGAACAUUAUUCAUUCAUCUCUAGCAUUGAACCUAUGAAGGUUGAAGAAGCAUUGGAAGAUCCGAAUUGGAUAAAAGCCAUGCACGAAGAACUACACAAUUUUGAGAGAAACCAAGUAUGGACAUUGGUCGAGAAGCCCGACAACAACCACAACAUCAUCGAUACCAAAUGGGUGUUUCGCAACAAGAAAGAUGAAGAUGGACAAGUAGUUUGCAACAAAGCACGCCUCGUCGCCCAAGGCUACACUCAAGUUGAAGGUAUGGACUAUGGUGAGACAUAUGCCCCCGUUGCUAGACUUGAGUCCAUUCGCAUAUUACCUGCCUAUGCUAAUCACCAUGAUAUCACUUUAUACCAAAUGAACAUUAAAAGUUUUUUUUCUAAAUGGUGAAAUUGAGGAGGAAGUUUAUGUUAAACAACCUCCCGGCUUUGUCAAUCCUAAGAAACCCAAUCAUGUUUACAAGCUUCACAAAGCUCUUUAUGGUCUUAAACAAGCUCCUAGAGCAUGGUAUAAAUGCUUGACCAAGUUCCUCAUUAAAAAAGGCUUUGAGAUUGGAAAAAUUGAUUCUACUCUUUUCACUAAAAGGGUUAGUGGAGAAUUAUUUGUGUGCCAAAUGUAUGUUGAUGAUAUAAUAUUUGGAUCAACUAACCCUCAUUUUAGUGAGAAUUUUGGGAAGCUUAUGUCGGAGAAGUUUGAGAUGUCUAUGAUGAGUGAACUCAAGUUAUUUCUUGGUUUGCAAAUCAAGCAAACUAAGGAAGGCACCUUCGUCUCUCAAACGAAGUACACCAAAGACUUGUUCAAGAAGUUCAAUAUGCAAGAAUGCAAAGGUAUGAGUACACCCAUGCCUACUAGUGGACAUCUUGACUUGACCAAAGAUGGUGAACCCGUUGAUCAAAAGGUUUAUCGCUCUAUGAUUGGUUUACUAUUGUAUCUAUAUGCCUCUCGUCCCGAUAUCAUGCUAAGUGUGUGCAUGUGUGCACGAUAUCAAGCGGACCCUAAAGAGUGUCAUCUUAAGGCCGUGAAAAGUAUAGUGAGAUACUUAAUCCAUACACCAAACUUUGGCAUUUGGUAUCCAAAGAGGGCCUCUUUCAAUCUUGUUGGCUACUCCGACUCGGACUAUGCCGGUGACAAGGUUGAUAGAAAGUCCACUUCGGGUACUUGUCAAUUUCUUGGUAGAUCUCUUGUAUCUUGGUCCUCCAAGAAACAAAACUCGGUAUCCUUAUCCACCACCGAAGCGGAAUACAUUGCCUCCGGUUCAUGUUGUGCUCAAUUACUUUGGAUGACCCGAACUCUUAAAGAUUAUGGGAUAUAUGUGAAACAUGUUCCUUUGCUUUAUGACAAUGAAAGUGCUAUUAAGAUUGCUCACAAUCCCGUGCAACACUCUCGAACUAAGCACAUUGAAGUUCGCCAUCAUUUCAUUCGAGAUCAUGUUACUAAGGGUGAUAUUAACCUUAAGCACGUUCACACCGACAAGCAGUUGGUGCAUAUAUUCACUAAACCACUUGAUGAGAAAGUGUUUUGCAGGUUGAGAGGUGAAUUGAACAUCAUUGAUUCCUCAAACUUGGAGUAGGAACUCCAUUUGGAUAUAUGCAAGACAUGAGCCUAUGACUAAUCCUUGAUAUUUCUCUCAUGAUGAUGAUCAUAUAUCUUGGAUACAUUUGCACCCUUGCAUGUUAUCUAACCCAUGUAGGUACUUGGAUGGAUCUAAAUCUAUGAGAUUGCAACUCAUUCACAUCUUGAGCAAUCUCUACAUCACCAAGUCUCUACUUUACGGUGGUUGAAGACAAGGAAGCAUGAAACCCUUCAAAUAUAUCCUUUGACAAAUUCCUAUAUCAGAUUUCAUGAUUAUCAUUUUGGAUACACAAGUGCUUUUCCUUGCAAAUCUAAUCCAUGUAGGUAGAUGAACUCCAAUUACAAGUGGUGCUCCAAAUGAACUACAUCAACAUUGAGCAUCCCACACAAGUUCAACUACAUGAUUCAACACCACCACCCAAGGUAUGUUAUUCCAUCUUAGAGAAGCUUUACCCCAAGACAUGGGUCCAAGCAACUCAACAAGAUGUGAAUACAUCAAGAUGCUUAAACGAAAAAUGGCAACCCCAUUUUGAGCUUAAACAAUGAGUAUGACCUAUGAUCAAGUGUCCUCACUUGACUCCUAAGUAAAUAUACUCUAACAUAGGGGACCUUGUCGCCGACCAAUUCUAGAUGAAGUUCUCUAGUAUUUUCUUUUCUUGCAUUCUGUCUCAUGCAUUUUUGUUAAAAAACAUCAUCUAGAUUUCUUCUUUUUUAUUUUUGUUCUGCAUUUCUCUGCAUCCAAUUCAUUGCAAAUCCUUGUGAGAUCAUUCUUGCCUAGUGAGCUAAGGUGAAUAGUAUUUUCUCUAUGAUGAACUCAGACAAACCGAUUUGCCUCUUUCGGUCAAACCGAAAUUUUUGGUGCCACCGAAGGAACCAACUCGGUUUACCCGACUUCAAUACUGAGAAAUCACUCUGUCACAUGCAUUCUGUACACUUUGUUCCAGCUCCACUUGAUGAUUCUUAUCCUCUACCAGCAUCAUAUUCCAUGUGCUUCUUUGCUCUGUGACUCAAGGACCAAACCUAUUUUGACUCACACUCCAGAAGGCCCUUCUUGGAAAUUGAUGUCAAAGGGGGAGAGAGAGUUCACAUCAAAGCUUAAUUACUCCAUCAAAGGGAGAGAGCAAUAGGGGGAGAGAAACAUUCUUAUCUAAAGAGAGACCCCAGUUGUUUGUUGUUUUGCAUUCAAAGAGGAGAGAAGUUACAUGUCUUUAGAGGGGAAAGACAUGUUUAUGCUGUUUUGUGUUUGCUUUGCUCUGAUUUUCUUUUCCUUAUUUUCUCCCAACAUCCAUUAUAAGAUUCAGGGGGAGUAAGACAUCUAAGGGAAGGAAAUCUUAAAAUUCAUUGCACAUUUUUACCUUUGGGGACAUGUCUACACUCAAAUAGAGUACCUAGUACUCACUCUAUACAUGUCAUCCCAAUCUUGGUACUCUUGUGGUUUACUGCUCUUGCUCUGCUUAGUAAAUGUUUCUGUGUUGUCUAACCUUGUUUACUCAGGUUCAUCUCUUCCAAAGCUAGUUAUAGACCACAAGGUAAGUAUAUUCAUCACACUCAUGUACAUGAGGAUCUCUUGCUGAUGUACAUAUUAUUUGCAAGAAGGACUGAUGAGCAUGAAGGUACAUUUCUGAUGUUGACACCAUUUGCUCUGAUGCAUAUAGCCAAGAUACAUGUAACUCAUUCCUUGCUCUUUCAUGAUUAUGCACUCACAUGAUCUUAUGUUCUAUAUUUACAUGAUUGCAUACAUGUAGGGGCAGCCUAUGCAUGUUACAUGUCUUUCCAAAGCUUUACUUGCCUUUCUCUAUAUCUUUAUCUAAAGCUUUGAUGUAUGUUGUCAUCAAUUACCAAAAAGGGGGAGAUUGAAAGAAUAAGUGCUCCCUAGGUGAUUUUGGUAAUUAAUGUCAAUAUAUCUCUUAUUGGACGAAUACUUUCAUCAAGUAUAUUUCAGAUAAUCCCAACAGUGGAGUGGCAUGGACAAGAGGAUGUGGAACCCCUUCAAGAUGCUAAGGACAAAGGAUUGGCUCAAGCUCAAAGCUCAGGACUCUACAUCUUCUAUUUUCAGUGAUACAAGAUCACAUUGAGUGUAUAGGAAAGCCAAUACUAUUAAAAGGGGAUGAGGUGUUGCCUAAUGGCUUGCUUGCUCAAAGUGCUUAGUGAUAUGCUCCAAAGCCCUCAACCAUUUUCUCAUAUCCACAUAUGUCCCAAACCAAAAGUCAAACACGGCCCCACCGAUUUGAUCCAUCAGGCGCCACCGAGUUCGUUUGACAUAGCCACUGCCAAAAACCCUAAUCAAUUUGGUCACACCGAUGGUAUCUGGUCUCACCGAGAUGGGCUUGCAAUCUCUCUGUUGUCUAUUACAACAUUUUGGUCCCAUCGAGUAGUGUAAUCGGCCACACCGAGUUUGUGUGACCAACUCUCUAUUUUACUUAUUACCAAAUCGGUCUCACUGAGUUGUGUAAUCGGUCAAAUUGAGAUGAGGUUUUACCCUAACCCUUGCACAUCGGUCCCACCGAGUUGAUCAUGUCGGUCCCACCGAAAUUGCCUAAUGGUCACAUAUGUACUAAAUCGGUCCGACCGAGUUUUUUGAUUCAGUCGCAUCGAGUUUGGUAUAAUGUGUGUAACAGUUAGAAUUUGUGUGGAGGCUAUAUAUACCCCUCCACCCUCUCCUCAUUCGUGAGGGAAGCCAUCAGAUCGUGCCUACACUUCCACUACCCAUUUUUUGAGAGAGAGCCACCUACUCAUGUGUUGAGACCAAGAUAUUCCAAUCCAACCAUAUGAAUCUUGAUCUCUAGCCUUCCCCAAGUUGCUUUCCACUCAAAUCAUCUUUCCACCAAAUCCAAUCCUAUGAGAGUGAGUUGAGUGUUGGGGAGACUAUCAUUUGAAGCACAAGAGCAAGGAGUUCAUCAUCAACACACCAUCUAUUACCUUUUGGAGAGUGGUGUCUGCUAGAUUGGUUAGGUGUCACUUGGGAGCCUCGGACAAGAUUGUGGGGUGAACCAAGGAGUUUGUAUGGGCAAGGAGAUCACCUACUUCAUGAAGAUCUACCCUAGUGAGGCAAGUCCUUCGUGGGCGAUGGCCAUGGUGGGAUAGACAAGGUUGCUUCUUCGUGGACCCUUCAUGGGUGGAGCCCUCUGUGGACUCGCGUAGCCGUUACCCUUCGUGGGUUGAAGUCUCCAUCAAUGUGGAUGUACGAUAGCACCACCUAUCAGAACCACGACAAAAACACCCGUGUCUCCAAUUGCGUUUGCACACUCCAAUCCCAUCCCUUUACUUUCUUGCAAGUUGCAUGCUUUACUUUCCGCUGCCCAUAUACUCUUUGCAUGCUUGCUUGAUUUGUAUUGUGAAUGGUUAAACUUCUGCUUAAACUCCACCUAAACUUGAAAAACUUAAAAACUGCCAACUUUGUGUGUUAAGGGUCUAUUCAGCCCCCUCUAGACACCUCUUCUCGAUCCUUUUAGUUUGAAAGUAUUGCUAAAGCACAUCUAGAUGUGCUCUAAGUAAUGCACAUCUCGGUCCUAUGCCAUUGAUGUUACGCGAAGAUUCAUGCAGAUAUUUUCCUUUGUCCUUUUCUUUUCCUUUCUAGUUUGGUUAUUACUGGCUUUAUCAAUAAUAAGAGCUUAAUGUAUUGCUUGCCAACUGUCCUACUCCGUUCAUACUGUUACCGGUGCAUAAUCCCAAAACCCGUUCCUUGUUUUUGUCCUGAAAAAGGAUACCAGCCAAAUAGCCAAUAGGAGUCCUGCGCAACCCCAGGAAUUUGGAGUGACUGGGUACAAAUAAUUGCGGUUAGAUAAUACGUCAACCCCCGCUUCAAUUGGCAGUUCCUCUUCUCUGCAUACCUCUAAGUGUCCACCAUCUUCAUCGUCCCCGGCAGGCCGCGCUACAUAGUGGCACACACUCUGUAGCCAUGUCGAGCGACAGGGAGGACGACAGUUCGGCCAGUAGUCUGGCGCCCGAUGAGAGGUUAACAUCGGAAUCAUCCCGCUCGUCUUCCAUGAGUCCGACGUCGAGCCCAGACCUCGAUUAUAUCCGGUUCAUGGAAGGGACGCCACCUCCGGAGUUGUCAGACAACAACUAGCCGGAUGAGGAGCUGUUGGAGGACGAAGAAGAGGACGACGAUGAGGAGGAGGAGGAUGACGACAGCAACGACGAUGACGACAGCGGUGGCGAUGAAAAGCCAACGGUCAGCGACAAAAAGCGUCCUCGCCAAGACGAUGUCGUGGGGCCAUCCAACAACAACAACAACAAGAAGGACUAAAUUAAGCAGACUGUAUAUAUCUUUAUUUAUCCUGUCAAUCUCAUCGCAGACGAUUAGUAGUAUGUAUUCGACAGAGAUCUUCUACAUUAUCGCCCAUAGGUUGGUUUGUUGAACUGUGUGCCCUGACAAACACACAAUUCACAAAAAAGACCAUAUGGGCUGUCUAUAAUGAUCGCACACAAUUCUGAUUACCGACUUGUUUGCCGGGUAUCACACACAUCUUGUUAUGCCGAAUCGUUUGUGUUCACCUCAAUCAUCGCAAACGGUUCAUCGGAGCAAACUAUAUGUCGUAUAUUGCACACACCUUGAUCUGGCUGCCCGUUUUCUGUUGUUCUGUCUCAUCGCAAACUGUUCGUGCAGACCAACCGUAUGCGCCUCAUCGCACAUGCAACUAAAAUCUGAACCGUGUGAUAUGCAUUCGUCAUCGCAAACCUUUUGCCCAUUUUUGACGGUUUUCUUGCACCAUCGUUUGCGAUUAUUGCAUUGCACACAGUUUCUUGAAGGGUAUCUCAUCGUAGUGUCGCGUUAGCAGCAUCCUGCAGUAGUGCAUGUUAAAGAUCUUUAUGCACAUGAUCCUAUGUUUGCGACUCAUUAUGCCAAAUGUCUUGCUAACACUGGUCGGGAGAACUAUUAUCUCAACAAUGGCUACCUUAUGCACACUAACAAGCUUUGUAUACCGAAGUCUUCGCUUCAUUUGCUACUUUCGCAAUAGGCCCACGACAGAGGACUUUUGGGAUAUUUCAGGCGCGACAAGACCUUUGCCACACUCUCCUUCAAGUACUUUUGUCCAAAGAUGUUCCGCAACGUGGCACGAUUCAUCAACAAAUGCUCUACAUGCCGCAAAGCUAAGUCACAAUCUCAAUCUCAUGGUUUAGAUAUGCCACUACCAAUUCUGUAUCAACCAUGGGAAGAUAUUAGUAUGGAUUUGGUGCUUGGUUUGCCUAGGACUCAAAAAAUGGAAAGGAUUCCAUAUUUGUUGUUGUGGACCGAUUCUCAAAAAUGGCACAUUUCAUCCCAUGUAAUAAGAUAGACGAUGCUUCACAUGUUGCAAAUCUCUUUUGUCGGGAUCUUGAGGUUGCAUGGAGUGUCAAGGACCAUUGUGUCGGACCGCGACGUCAAGUUCCUAAGCUACUUUUGGAAGACAAUAUGCGCCAAGCUCGGCAUCAAGCUACUAUUCUCGACGGCCUAUCAUCCCCAAACCGAUGGCUAAAGGGAAGUCACCAACCGGACGCUAUCUACUCUCUUACGCGUGUUGAUAAAGAAGAACAUCAAGGAGUGAGGGGGGAUGUUUACCCAUCGCCGAGUACGCCUACAAUCGAGCUCGGCACUCUACUACCGGCAAGUCCCCCUUCGAGGUUGUCUACGUCUUGAACCCAUUGUCCCCAUUGGACAUUCUACCUCUUCCGCUCCAAGAACACGCAAACAUGGAUGCAAGUGCAAGGGCAAGCUUUCUCAAGAAGAUACAUGAAGAUACAAGGGCAACGAUCGAGCGUCAAGUACAUCACAUUGUCACCAAGCUCAACAUCAACAAGACACCAAUGGUGUUCCAACCAAGAGAUCUUGUAUGGCUUCAUCUUCGCAAGGACCGCUUCCGCAACGAGCGCAAGUCCAAGCUACUACCACCAGCCGAUGGACUCUUCAAGGUGCUAGCACGCUACAACGACAACGCCUACAAGAUCGACAUCCCACGCUACAAGUACAACGUAAGAGACAAGUGAAUUCCUCUUUGUGUUCUUGGUGUUCAUCCCUCUUUCCCCUCCAAGUGUGAAAAGAUCCAUCUUAGGGUUUCACCCUACAACAGAACGUUUCCUCCUAGUGACGCACGUUGCUGGAAGGCCUGAAAUAAAUCUGGAAAAAUGCGAACACCAAUGUAAGUCUAAAACUUGAACUCUGUUGGGUUAGAGAUAUCACUGUCCUCCUAACCAUCCAAUUACAUGUUGGUUUGGCAUAAAUCUUUUUUUUAUCUAUAUGAAAUGACAGUGCCGUCGUCUAACAAAAGAUGCUAGCUCAAGUGAAGUGCAUGAACAUGCUCUCAAAAUUAAUGGCCCAUUUAUAUAUUUAUAUCAAUGUCCCUUUACCUUUAUUUCUACUAGUCUUAAAUUAUCACAAAUAAUAAGUACCACAUGUGUGGCACAAUGCGCUCCAGCCUGACGUUUUUUACAACUAAAGUUGUCAUUUAAAAGAAAACUUACCAUUCGAAAAGAAAGUUGUCAUGCUUGACCAUUAAAGUUAUCAUACUCGCAUCAAUAAAUUUGCCGUGAAAAUAUUCAGAGUUGCUAUGUGUUUGACCAUUAAAGUUGGUCAUACUUGCAUCACUAAACGAAGAAAGUGUCAACAAAUAAUUUUGUGAACAUUCAUGGAGGGUCAAUAUCAUGAGUUGGCGAGGAAGAAACAAUAACAGAAGCUAAAAUAUAAACCGACACCCUGGGUUUAGAUUACUAGAUACACACACAAACACACAUUGUUGCCUCGAUUGUUUCCUCUCCAACGAUCAACCCACGUACGCAUGCACACAAGAUGAGCAUCUUCACUUCUGCUCUGCUCUAGUUAGACUCGAGCUGCGCGUACCACACACCCUGGAUCUUGACAUCCUUGGGCGCCUUGGCGCCGAGGUCGGUGUCUGACGGCUGCACGCUCUCGAAGACGCCGAUCACCUCGCCGGUCUCCGGCUUGCUCUUGGUCACGCUGAGCGUGAUGUUGCCUGUGGAGGAGGACGCGUUCUUCACGUUCUCCUUGGCCAACUCCUCCUCGUCUCCUCUGCCUCCGGCGGGUAGCGCCACGGCGUUGUCGUAGCCAGUAGAGCCACCACGGCCCUUUGGGUCGAGGAAAGACGAACCCCUGUAGCUGGGCACAAGGAAGGGCCCGCUGAAGCUCUCGGGCUUGCCGGUGGCGACGAGCUGCUUGACGGUGAAGAGGAAGGGCACGCGCUCGCCUCCGGGGAGCUGCACGGUGACGGCCGCAUAGUCGAUGCCGUCCUUCUCCUCGAACUUGAGGGUGCCGUCGGCGCCGACCUCGAGCGGGCCUUCCAUCUCGUCAAGGGUGUAGGUGAGACGGGUCAUGAGCUUGGUCUUCUGGAAGGCCGGCGGCUCGUUCUUCUGGAUGCCCUCGGCCUUGACGGUGAAGGAGGUGGGCUCCAGGCAGAACUUCUUCAUCUCGUACUUGCCGGCCUUGAAGGGGAAGGAGUCGACGCCGCCGUCGAUGGUCGGGCACUGGUUCGCGGUGCCGGUACCCUUCACCUCCAUGUAGGUCUUGCUCUGGAUCUCGUCGAAGGUCAGCCUCUUGGGC